AAUGAACGCUGGCGGCAUGCCUUACACAUGCAAGUCGAACGGCAGCAUGACCUAGCUUGCUAGGUUGAUGGCGAGUGGCGAACGGGUGAGUAAUGCAUCGGAACGUGCCUUUUAGUGGGGGAUAACGUAGUGAAAGUUACGCUAAUACCGCAUAUUCUCUGAGGAGGAAAGCAGGGGACCUUCGGGCCUUGCGCUAGAAGAGCGGCCGAUGUCGGAUUAGCUAGUUGGUGAGGUAAAGGCUCACCAAGGCAACGAUCCGUAGCGGGUCUGAGAGGAUGAUCCGCCACACUGGGACUGAGACACGGCCCAGACUCCUACGGGAGGCAGCAGUGGGGAAUUUUGGACAAUGGGCGCAAGCCUGAUCCAGCCAUGCCGCGUGAGUGAAGAAGGCCUUCGGGUUGUAAAGCUCUUUCGGCUGGGAAGAAAUCGCACCCUCUAAUACAGGGUGUGGAUGACGGUACCAGCAUAAGAAGCACCGGCUAACUACGUG
rnacentral:rRNA from 1 species